rnacentral:lncRNA from 1 species
UGACGAAUCGUUUACUGUUAGCAGUGCAUCAUUUGACAGUUUCUUUGGGUACGACAAUCCAGAUGAUGUAAACGAUGAUGAUUUGCCAAACGAAAAGGAUGAAAACCUAAUGGAAAACAGACCGCAAAAUUUCAAAAUGAAUAAAAAAUCAGUGGAACUCACAACAGGUAAGUGUACUUUUUACAACAUGUAAUAAAUUUUAGCAUGUGAUGAUUGCUUUCAUUGCUGUGUUGUGUUGAUCCAGAACAUGGUCUUUCUAUACAAAUGGAGCUCGUCUAGUAGACUUUCUUUGUUCAGUACAAUAAAGUAGUUUAUACAUUUAUUCAGAAUAAGCAGGCUUCUUAAUGGAAUAUUUUAAAAUGUGUAAUAACGAGAGCAAUCUAACAGUAUUAUUUUCCUGUAGAUUCAUUUAUUUUCGUUGGUCUCCAUUUUCUUGGAUUGAGGAAAACUAGCAUGCUUGUGGACGUUUAAUUUCGUUGUUUUGGCAAAGUCUACAUUAGUUUCCAAAGAAAAUUUCUAAUUCGUUGAACAUUUAAUUUCGUGGUUCCUCUGAACCCACGAAAGACACGAAAAUUGGUAUUCAACGAAUAUUAAUGAAUCCACAGGAAAAUAAUACUGCCAAUAGAACCUAGGAGUCAAAACAACAAUGAACGCAAUCAUGAUACACGUUUUUUUUCUAAACAAGAUACAAACAACUUGGAUGACAUGGUCUUCACAGAAAGUAAGAAUGUUGAGAAAGCCAUGACAACUAAAAGUGAUGACGAAACUGUAAGCAGUGCUUUAAGGGAAAGAAAAUUUGCAAGUGAUAGCCUGACGAAAGAGAAAGAAGGUAUAGUAGUAAAAAAUGUUACGUCUACAUAUAGACGAACUAUAUAUUCUACUUACAUUGCGGACUAUUUUCAAAAUCGCAUCAGUCAUGCAUUCACAUUACAAAUCGUAAAUUUUCUAGUAAUCGAAACUCACAGCUUAAUAUUAUAAAAGUUUAAAGAGCACAAUGAUCACUAUUUUCUGUGCGAUUUACAACUGAAUAUAUCGCUUCUAUUCUGAUUUAAAUAAUGAUCACUAUUUUCUGUGCGAUCUACACCUGAAUAUAUCGCAUUUAUUCUGAUUUAAAUGAUGAUCACUAUUUUCUGUGCGAUUUACACCUGAAUAUAUCGCAUCUAUUCUGAUUUAAAUAAUGAUCACUAUUUUCUGUGCGAUUUAAACUUGAAUAUAUCGCAUCUAUUCUGAUUUAAAUAAUGAUCACUAUUUUCUGUGCGAUUUACACCUGAAUAUAUCGCAUCUAUUCUGAUUUGAAUGAUGAUCACUAUUUUCUGUGCGAUUUACACCUGAAUAUAUCGCAUCUAUUCUGAUUUAAAUAAUGAUCACUAUUUUCUGUGCGAUUUGCACCUGAAUAUAUCGCAUCUAUUCUGAUUUAAAUAAUGAUCACUAUUUUCUGUGCGAUUUACACCUGAAUAUAUCGCAUCUAUUCUGAUUUAAAUAAUGAUCACUAUUUUCUGUGCGAUUUACAACUGAAUAUAUCGCAUCUAUUCUGAUUUAAAUAAUGAUCACUAUUUUCUGUGCGAUUUACACCUCAAUAUAUCGCAUCUAUUCUGAUUUAAAUAAUGAUCACUAUUUUCAGUGCGAUUUACAACUGAAUAUAUCGCAUCUAUUCUGAUCUAAAUAACUCUUUUGUUUUAUUUCCUUAUUAUUGCACUACUUUUAUUUAUUAAUUUCUCUCGUUAAGUAAAGAAAUACUAAAUUUAUGAUUUCUUGAUAAAGCUUUGCUGCUUCUUGUUAGUUGACCAAUGGUUCCUAAUGGUAAAGUGGAAGUCUACGGGCGCUAUCAUGGAUUGUUUGACUGUUAUGGAUUAUAUGACAUAUAUUCCUUUGGACCAAUCUAAUUAAAAUAUUGAUCUCUCAUUACUUUAUACUACAUAUGUAGUAUAACGUAAUCAGAAAUAUUGAUCUCUGAUUACGUUAUGUAGUAUAACGUAAUCAGAGAUCAAUGUUUUAAUUAGAUUGCCUUUGGACGAAUACCUUAUCUUGUAUUCUUUUCUCGAUUAUCAAUUACAACUUUUUAUUUGUUAUAUGAUUGUAUGUCUAAUGGUACAUUGGCUAAUCCUGUAAUAUAUGCAUCAGUUGAAAUACUUAAUUCUGUACAUCAUUUUGUGUUCUUUGUUAUCACAUAUCUUAAAGCAUGCUUAAAUAUCUGAUCUCAUUUUAGGUACAAAGAUGCACAUUGAGAGCACUUUAGAAAAUAGUCUGUCAGAGAAAAAUUAUAUUUCAAGGAAAUGUUUUCACAAUGAAGCCAUUGGUUUAUUUCAUGAUAAUGCAUUGUCUGACAUAAAGGCAGAUCCAUCUUUUGGAUUCAGAACACCAGGUAGUAGAGUGUUAUAUAAUGGGGCAUUGGUUAUUACGGAUGGAGGCGGCGACGAAAUAUCUGAUGAUGGGUCAGUUAUAGAUAUGCCAGAAGAAGAACUGACAAAAUGGAAAACAUCUAAGAACAAAAUCAACAAUAAAGUUAGUCAAAUAGAAAGUAACAAACAUCUUGGCGAUAUAAUUUCUAGUACACCAUACGCUGAGAAAAAGGCCACAGGACUAGAGAAAACUGAAAUUGGAAUAUAUCCUUGUGAACCAUUUAACCAAGCGUACGAUCAUUUAAAAACUCCGUCACAACCUUUAUUAGCCCCUCUUUUUUCUCUGCCACGGCGAGGGAUGCUGGAUCCACUCUUCCCUAUUCAGGAAACGAUUGAUAAAAAAGAUAGCACUACUAAAUCAGGCAAGAAGAAUUCAAAAAGGAAGAAAAAGAUCAAAACAAAAGUCAUAAAAAAAGAAUCCAUGCAAUGGCCUGAACCAAAACCAGCCGAAUCCGAAACGCACUGUGAUUCAAGUACCGGUUCGUUCUCAAUGCCAUCAUUUGAACUCGCAGAGGAUAUACAAUUAUUAAGCAAUGAGAAUUUAAGCGGGUCAGAUAUGAAAUUUAACGCGGAUUCAAACGACCAAUUUUCAAGUUGCCUUAAACAUGUCCGAUUCAGGGAAGACGCUGAAGUAUUCUAUAUAGAUCCAUACCAGAGUUCCGAUGACCAAUCAGCCGAGAAUCGUGUCGACAGUAAAAAUAACAUUUCAGAACAGUUAUUACAAUCUCCAGACGAAAAGAGGAAAAGAAACGCUGAUGAUGACUUUAGUGAUGAUAUGUCAAGCGAUUCUUUUGCUGGGAGAAACUUUCGCAAUGAAAUGAAUUUAAAAAUGAAUGACGAUUUUAUUAUAGAUUCAUAUGAAAGCUCCGACUCAGGUUAACUAAUUAUAUAGCAAGGAAACAAUAAAAGCACUUAUUAUUUUCUGGUUAUUAUGUU